rnacentral:rRNA from 1 species
GUCUAUGGCCAUACCACCUUGAAUGCACCUAAACUUGUGAAGCUAAGCAGGGUUGAGCCUGGUUAGUACUUGAAUGGGAGAAAUGGUAAUUACUUUUAGAAUGAGUACUGGCCUUUAAAGGGC